rnacentral:lncRNA from 1 species
GAUUGGAAGUGGCAGAAAGUGCUCUGCGGCACACUAAGCCUCAGUUAGAAGUGCUUCGUCUGACUUUCGAGAAGCCUGCAGGAAAGCCUGGCGUGGAGGAAUGCAGGGGAGAUGGCUGGCAUCUGGACGUUCCUUCCACAUGAUGGCACACAUCUGGCUCUUUGGGGCCAGUGGAACAUUCCCCUUCCAGUUUCCCUCCAGAUGUUUGAGGAUAUGAAGAUACAGCCCAAGGGGUGAGCAAUUUAUCAAGCUUCACUGAUCAAUUACAAGCCGGCACGCAGCAGAGCCCUCGCUGGAUUUCUUAUGCUCAUUGUGUAUAAAUGCCCAGGCUGUUUCACGCAGACACACCCUGCACAACAGGCCUUCAGUCAAACAGACGGUGGACUUUUUCAUCCCCUCCUCCUUGUAUGCACACACCUCAGGGGCCCAGAACUAAGUGAGCGAUUGGUGCACAUGUGCAAGUGGACAUCCUGGAGCCCACAGAUUGGUGGGCGGUUAUUUGGCUUCUACAGAAUCCACAGUGCACGUGGUCUGCUGGCCUCCCACUUCCCAUCAAGUGGGCUUCCUGGAGCAACACUUUCACUGUGUGUCAAAGGCAGCUUCCACACCGAGUCCCUGAGGAGGGGCUCAGCAGGCUGCUGAGGAGGGAUGUAGGACACUUAUGGCCCUGGACCAUCAGUCUCCAACCUGGUUGACAGCCAAUUCCACUCCACUCCCAUCCUCUGCUCCACGCCUGGCCAGCCAAAGAUCCAAAACAAGGUCACAGCACAGUUCACACCUCAGUGAAUUGAGGUCAUCAGCUCUGUCGUCCAUUUAGGAAAGAAAUGCCAGGAAGUGAUGUAAGGAGACCAAUGCCAACGUUUGCCAUGCCAGCAAGUACAAUUAUUAUUAUUUUUUUCUAACCCACGCUUGUUGCAAUUCAAUCAAAUUAAUGCUUCAUUUACUAGGGAAUGUGAUUUUGCAACACAAACAGGGUAGGGCUACCCCAAAAAGUCCCAGGCCUUUGGCCACUGCCUGUUGGUUUACCCACACUCUUUUCAGCCCGGCUCUGACUGGCUGCCCCAGGACCCUGCCCUGGCCUGGGUGUUAGCGACAGGGAAACUGGCUCGUCUCGAACCCAAACUGACAAUGUGGGUCUGGGAGGUGCCUGAAGGUGUGGGAUUUCUGACGUCCGUGACCCUGGGAUGAAAAGCCCAUCCCAGCCGUCCUGUUGCUCACAGAGUCUGAGAAAGAUGCAAACUUUCAGAGAGUCUUCCUCUUGCAGGAUAUAUUAGACUUAUCGAAAUAAGCUUUCUGUUUAAAUUGAAGAAUGAUGUCUGUACAGAAAAGUGCACAGCUGUUAUGUGUACAGUGCAAUGACGUUUACAAACUGAACUCAGCUGUGUAAGCUGCACCCAGGUAAGAGGCAGAACAUUCCAGAAACCUCCUAGUGACGCCUUUCAGUCGCAACCACCUUCCCCCAAGGUGACAGCCAUCCUGGCUGCUGCCACUAUAGAUCCUUUUCUCUGGUUUUAAACUGUAUGUAAAUGGAACCACACAGUGUGUGUUCUUUUGUGUCCAGCUUCCUCCUCUCACCACCACACUUCUGUGAUUCCUCCACACUGCUGAGGGUCAUCCAGGGGGCUGCAUGUCUAGAAGUUCACUCGCUUUCCUUUCAUUUCUAAGCAGAAUUCCAUUGUGUAGAUAUACUAUAGACACCAUAUUUAUCCAUCCUAUAAUUAACGGGCAUUUUGAUUGCUUCGUGUUCUAGAGUAUUAUGAACAAAGUUGCUUUGAACAUGUCUGUGGUAGACAUGGACACGUAUUUCUCUUGGCUCUAUACCUAGGGGUGCAAUUGCUUGGUCAUAGGGCAAGUGUAUGUCCAACUGUGGUGCAUAUCGUCAUACAACUUUCUUAGGGUUGGUACCAAUACAUACACUGCCUUGGCAGGGUAUGAGAGCUCCGCUUGCUCCACAUCCUUGUCAAUGCUUAAUAUUGUCUGUCUUUUUAGUUUUAGCCAUUAAGUGGCGGUAUCUACAGGUAUCCCAUUGUGGUUUACUUUGCAUUUCCCUGAUGACUAAUAAAAUAGAGCAUCUUUUCA